rnacentral:rRNA from 1 species
GAUGAACGCUGGCGGCGUGCCUAAUACAUGCAAGUCGAGCGAACAGACGAGGAGCUUGCUCCUCUGACGUUAGCGGCGGACGGGUGAGUAACACGUGGAUAACCUACCUAUAAGACUGGGAUAACUUCGGGAAACCGGAGCUAAUACCGGAUAAUAUAUUGAACCGCAUGGUUCAAUAGUGAAAGACGGUUUUGCUGUCACUUAUAGAUGGAUCCGCGCCGCAUUAGCUAGUUGGUAAGGUAACGGCUUACCAAGGCAACGAUGCGUAGCCGAACUGAGAGGGUGAUCGGCGACACUGGAACUGAGACACGGACCAGACUCCUACGGGAGGCAGCAGUAGGGAAUCUUCCGCAAUGGGCGAAAGCCUGACGGAGCAACGCCGCGUGAGUGAUGAAGGUCUUCGGAUCGUAAAACUCUGUUAUUAGGGAAGAACAAAUGUGUAAGUAACUAUGCACGUCUUGACGGUACCUAAUCAGAAAGCCACGGCUAACUACGUG